rnacentral:tRNA from 1 species
CCAUAAUCAUUUAUAUAGCGCAUUUUUUUUGGCAAAAAAUGGCUAUUAGAGGUCACUUUCUAGUCUAUAGA